CACGUAGUUAGCCGGUGCUUAUUCUUACGGUACCGUCAUUAGCUCUCUUUAUUAGAAAGAACCGUUUCGUUCCGUACAAAAGCAGUUUACAACCCGAAGGCCUUCAUCCUGCACGCGGCAUUGCUGGAUCAGGCUUUCGCCCAUUGUCCAAAAUUCCCCACUGCUGCCUCCCGUAGGAGUCUGGGCCGUGUCUCAGUCCCAGUGUGGCUGGUCGUCCUCUCAGACCAGCUACAGAUCGAAGGCUUGGUGAGCCUUUACCUCACCAACUACCUAAUCUGCCAUCGGCCGCUCCAUUCGCGCAAGGCCUUGCGGUCCCCUGCUUUCAUCCGUAGAUCGUAUGCGGUAUUAGCACAGCUUUCGCUGCGUUAUCCCCCACGAUUGGGCACGUUCCGAUGUAUUACUCACCCGUUCGCCACUCGCCACCAGGAUUGCUCCCGUGCUGCCGUUCGACUUGCAUGUGUAAGGCAUGCCGCCAGCGUUCAAUCUGAGCC
rnacentral:rRNA from 1 species